CUUCCAAAUAGGUUUUGGUUUAUGAGCUCUUCAUAGCCUGGUGAUCUGAGAAGUCAGAAGUAUUCCUACAACUCCUGUCAAAGGCAAUCGAGGAAUCCAUAAAUGAUCUGUCCUCCGGCAGCCACUGCAUCAAAUCUGUCUACUUCCAGUGGACUUUGGAAUGCUGAGACUUCUCGGGGCUGCUGGAUGGAGGCGCGGGCUGGCAGGAGCGGGAGCCCAGAAGCCAAAGCGGUGGCCUUGAACUCCAGGCCAAGAUGCGCAUCUACCAGCGUCGUCUCCCCUCCUCCCUCUACUUCCUCCCAGGCACGCCAGCUGCGGGGCUUUCAAACCGCGCCCUCUUCCUGCUUGAGGAGCUCAAGAAAUCAUUUGACAGAACCUGGAGUCAUCUUUGGUUGUCAUGAUGGGAGGAUGCAGGAGGAUGGAAGGAGUUAUGUGAUCUGUACCUGGCGUGAAGAUAACAAGGAUAUUGAUACACAGCACAGCACAGCCCACUCACUGAACAUAUCCCUACCCUCCCCAAGCCAGCAGUAA
rnacentral:lncRNA from 1 species